GCCUCGCCUGACUGUCCCAUCGAGGGGCGGAGCCUCGUCCCCAGUCCUCUUCCAUCGCCGCCUCUGUUUAUCCGCUAGCCAUUGGCCCCAAGGACUGCCAGUCGGCUCUGGGGACGGCCUCCAACUUGAGGUUCCAUCCUAACUCUGCACCUAUUGGCAAAUAUAAGGUUACUUUCUCCUGAUUGGGCAAGGAACUGUCAGUAAGACUAAGGAAAGAACUAAUGGGAGGGAUGGAGUAUGUCUUACCCCACCCUACCUCUGAGCAGGGAUGGAGUCUCACCGGGUGAGGAGGUGCCUAGGGAUACGAUCGGAUCGGAUGAGAGCUGCUCUGGCCACAGUCUCCUCUGUAGUUUGAAUUUGAAGGAAAAACCACAAGGCCAUUUUACCCAGUCCCCUGCCUCUAAGCCUUUAAAGGCAGGGACUUCUGUUUGCCAGAUCUCCAGAAAAGGAGAUUGUCCAGCCUCCCUUGAACACCCACGUCUCCUUAUUCUAACACUGCAACUCUCACUGGCGUCACUGCAGCAGGAAAGGAGAGCAGUCAACGGGAAGUCUGUCCCAGUGGCAGGCUGGACUCAAAGGCAAUGCAAAAAUCAAGAAGCAUUGUGAGCUUGGGCCUGCUCUCAGCCUCAGGGGAGAGAGCCAUCCAUAGACUGGGAGAGGGGCCUCUGUCCUGGGUCCUGCCCUUGGAAGCCCCCGCCCUGCCCCUGGCUGGUCCUCCUGGGGUUGUGACCCUCCUCAAGGGGCCAGGGUACCAGCCUACACAGAGUUCAUCCCUUUCCCCUUUGAGACCACACUCCGGGUACCGGGCACUCUGGAAUUCCUUGCCCGGCACUGACCCUUCCUUGCAGGGCCUGCAGGGCCCUUACUCUGGUCCUUCCUCCUGAGAACAAACAGUAGCACCAUGCAUGGUGGUAUGUGCACCAGCAAAGGGGGGCAGGGGGCAGUUGUGAGGGAAAGAUGGGCACAGCACAGACAUGCGAGCGGGGGUGUCCACACACGUGCUGGAGGCCCUGUGCAGUGUGGGGGCAGCCAGGCCUCAAAGGAAAGGGGAGAUGGCCCAGGGGACAGUUAUCUCUGCACUGCCGUGUUCUGAGGAGUCAGAAUUCUCAUUCCAUCCUGGCCCUUCAGGACACUGUGCAGGUCUACUUGUCAAGGUGUAUCUUGUUUAACAGUUUGUUAGCUUGAUCUAUAAUUUAUUUAGAUCUACAUAUACGGGCCUCCAUUUGCAAGCCUGCCCCUGCCCACAGGUGUUGGGGUGGGGUGAGGCUGGCUCAGGGUGAUCCUUGAGCAGGGGAGAGGACGUUGGGUGCUGCAGAAGAGCCUCUGGCUCCCAAACUCUUCUGGUGGGAGGGGGCCCAAGCACCCCCCCCCCAGUGUGGGAGCAGGAACAAGAUAGGAUGGUGCUAGGCACUGGGAGGGGGUAUCGGGGUGCUCCUGUCUGUUUUGCUGUCCUUUGUCCAGGGCAGGAGUCUGGAGGCCAGAGGCUGCCCAGGGCCUGGGGCUGGGUCUUUGGGUGUGUGCUCAGCCACUGGGGAGGCCUCUUAAUUAUAGAGGUAGCUCCAGCAAUACUUCACUGCAAGCUGUGGGUGGGGAUGGAAUGUCAAGGGAAAACAGGGAGACAAGAAAACAGAGAUAGGACAAGCCAGAAAUAGCACAGGCCAGGGCGAGAUACCAGGGGCCAGUGAUGGUAGUCGGGGGAGCCGCUGGAGGAAGGUCAGGACCUCUCCUGAGAAUGUCUAUCCUGGGGUUGCCCUCCCUUGCCCACCCCCAACCCCACCCCUCAGGUGAAAUUCCAGGACUUCAGGAAUCCAACAGCAAACAUCAGGAAUAUAUUCUGGUCCUGGGUCUCCUUGGCUGUCUUAACACCUCCUCUGGUCCUGAGUGAUUAGGUGGGGGACGGGAGGGGGCGAGGCCUUGCCCCCUGAGUCACCUCCCUUCCGGCUCCUGGCCUGGGUGACUUCACACAGGCUAAAACAGCUAGGGCCCCACCCACCCUACCAGCCUGCCUGCCCUGACAGGUGCCCUUCCCACAGAGAAGCCACCCCUCCCUUCCCCGCUCCAGUACACACACACACACACACACACACACACACACCGCAGGAAUUUCGUUUCUCCCCCACCUGUCCAGAGUCCUUAGGAAGAAAAAGAAGGAGCAGUCUAAUUAGAAUCUCCUUCCUUGUAUCUAAGGGGAAACUGAGACUGGAGCCAGAUGAACUUCCCUAAAAUCACACAAGCAAAUUCCUGGCAGGAUUGGGACUUGAACCUUUGUCUUCUGCCCACCAGCUCACCAUUGCCACCAAUUUAGGUCUCUCCAUCCCAACAAAGGUGGGAUGCAGUGGUAGGGGUAGAGAUAGAUGAAAAUCAAUUUUGUGGCAAGUCAGCUUGAAGUAUGACUUCAGGAAAAGCUCAGGAUUAGACAGCCAGGACUAAGGAAGGGGUGGGGUGGGCUCUGGGCUGGCCAGCUCUCCUUGGGGUUCUAAAUCUGUAACCUCCCCUCACUUCCUCUAAGCCCUCUGAGCCACAGCCAUGGAUUACACAGAGACCCUCCCCCCAGUUCACCAGCCCUCUCCACCUCCCUGGUGGGGCUGCAACCCCACCUUAGUGGGGGCUAGGGUCAGGACUUGGAGUCCCUUGUGUUGUACACUAAUCCCAUCUUCCCCAGUCCUAUCCCGUGGCCACCAGGGAAUUUGAGAGUUGAGAUCCUUGAAUAUUUCAUCAGCACUUCAGCCUCCAGUUCAA